rnacentral:tRNA from 1 species
GAGGGUGUAGCUCAGUGGUAGAGCGCUUGCCUGGCAUGCACGAGGUCUGCGGUUCAAUCCCUAGUACCUCCA